AUGUACUACGUCGAUCACCUAGCUACUCAUCGUCGGAGAUGUCAACGAUCUCUGUACCCGGCUCCGGCAGGAUUGGCGGCAGCUGCAGCUCUGGCUCCUCCGGCACCUUCGGCUGCUCCACUCAGGCCUCCUCCGCCUCUAUCUCCGUGUGGAGUUUGGCAAAGAGCGCAUCGAACGCCGCCUGCUCCCGCCGGAGGAACACCUGGUUGGCCUCCACUUAGACCUCAUCCUGGAAGAACUCCAGGAUGGCCUGCUGCUCCGCCAGCUCAUCAGAUUGCGCGAAGGCGAACUCCGCCUUCGCCUGCUCCAUGUUGA
rnacentral:rRNA from 1 species